rnacentral:lncRNA from 10 species
AUCCACUUUGAAAACAGGAGACAUCCGCGGCAGGUGGGGCUUGCAAAUGAUAUUUCUAAUCAGAUGUUCAUCCAGAAAGUAAUUAACUUUAGGAAAGUAAAGGCCCUAGAGGCUUCUGAAAAGAUUUCCUUACUCUCAAUUCUCCCUGAGCAUUGCUUGAUAUUUGCCUCCCCCUGAGCUGUAGAGCCCAAAGGGAAGAUGAGAAGCAAGUCCUGCUGAUAUGGAUGCGGAUCACAUUUGCGUGACUCAGAGCUGUGGGGUAAGAAGCCUUUCUUCCAGCUGUCCUCUCACCACCCCAACCCCAGAGCCCUCAAGGUUGUGUUUUCUCAUGUUUGUGAAUUGCUCAGAGCUCUGCCAGGCUUUUCAGUUUUAUCUGGCCUUCUGCCUUGGCUGCCUUGCCUCUCCUUUUAGGAAAUCCAAGGGUGGAGAAAUGAAUAAUCUGUUUCUGAAGUCAGAGAGACAUGAGUCUAAGCCCUGGGUCGCCACUUCCUAGCUGGGUAGCAGUGGGCGAGCUGCAGCCUCUUUCUGAGUCUCUGUUUCUUACUGAUGACCUGGGUUAUUAGAGGACCAUUGAGACAGCCCACCCAUAAACUCCUAAGAAAGCACUCGGCUUGAUGCCUACUUCCUAGAGGUUUCUCAGCAGUGUUCCUAUUAUUGCUAGCUCCAUCCUGUCUUUUUGUGAUAAAACCAUGUUUGGAUAGAGUUUGGCUAGUGCGUUAGUUUCCUAGGGCAGCUGUAACAAAGUACCAUAAAGUGGGCAUCUUAAGACAACAAAAAUGAAAUGUCUCACAGUACUCAAGGCCAGAGGUCCUAAAUCAAGGCAUUGGCAGGGCCACGCUCCCUCUGAAACUUGUAGGAGAGUUUUUCCUUGCCUCUUUCUAGCUUCCGGUGGUUUGCUGGCAAUCGUUGGCAUUCCUGGGUUUGCAGCUGCUUAACUCCAGUCUCUGCUCUUGUUGUGACACGGAGAUCUCCCCAUGUGUCUCUGUCUUCACAUGCCAUCUUAUAAGGGCACUAGGCAUGAGCUCAUCUUAACUAAUUACAUCUGCAACAGCCCAAUUUCCAAAAAUGGUCGCAUCUGAGGUACUGGGGACUAGGACCUCAACAUAUUUUUAUUGUUGACACGAUUCAGCUUAUACGAGGUAAAUACUACAUUAUAUGCUAAAAUAUUUUAGUCUAUUUAGUCAGUGUAAAAUACAAACUUCUGUCUUGAUUAGAUUUCACUUGGGAAAUGUAUAAUUUAUUUGGCUUCAUUAGUCUACUUUUUCGUCUUUCUCCUCUAUUCCAAGCCUCCUAGCCACUCUUCUCACUAAUCCAUGAUUCGCUCAGCAUCCAGUGUUCUCUCCCUAAUAUCUUCUCCUUUCUAGAACAAUCAUCUGUCCAGAUCAGUCAUCUUUUUUUUCCUAGGAUGAAGGUCAAAUUUCUCACCUUCACACAAAUUCUCUUUCAGGAGCUGCCCCUCAUUUACCUGUGGGGUGACUAACUGUCCCAGUUUGUCCUGGAAUGCCCUGGUAUUAGCAUUAACAUUUUUGCACCCUGAGAAACCCUUCUGUCCUGGACAAGCCAGUUUUCACCCUGUUACUUUUCUGCAUGUUUUGGCUACAGAUACUCUCCGGCUAUUACAGAUUUUGUCUUUCCACAUGUGUGUUGCAUUGGCAUUAGCUGUUUGCUCAUUGUGCUCUGCUGCCAAUUACAUGUUUCUUAGGGGAUUGAAAUCCAGACAAAUCUGGGUUUGAAUUUCAACUCUUGUGGCCUUAAUAAAUGCAUACUUUAUCAGUGUCCAUCAAC